UAACUAUUGGAAACGAUAGCUAAUACCGCAUAACAGUAGAUAUUGCAUGAUAUCUGCUUGAAAGGUGCAAUUGCAUCACUACCAGAUGGACCUGCGUUGUAUUAGCUAGUUGGUGAGGUAACGGCUCACCAAGGCGACGAUACAUAGCCGACCUGAGAGGGUGAUCGGCCACACUGGGACUGAGACACGGCCCAGACUCCUACGGGAGGCAGCAGUAGGGAAUCUUCGGCAAUGGACGGAAGUCUGACCGAGCAACGCCGCGUGAGUGAAGAAGGUUUUCGGAUCGUAAAGCUCUGUUGUAAGUGAAGAACGAGUGUGAGAGUGGAAAGUUCACACUGUGACGGUAUCUUACCAGAAAGGGACGGCUAACUACGUGCCAGCAGCCGCGGUAAUACGUAGGUCCCGAGCGUUAUCCGGAUUUAUUGGGCGUAAAGCGAGCGCAGGCGGUUAGAUAAGUCUGAAGUUAAAGGCUGUGGCUUAACCAUAGUACGCUUUGGAAACUGUUUAACUUGAGUGCAAGAGGGGAGAGUGGAAUUCCAUGUGUAGCGGUGAAAUGCGUAGAUAUAUGGAGGAACACCGGUGGCGAAAGCGGCUCUCUGGCUUGUAACUGACGCUGAGGCUCGAAAGCGUGGGGGAGCAAACAGGAUUAGAUACCCUGGUAGUCCACGCCGUAAACGAUGAGUGCUAGGUGUUG
rnacentral:rRNA from 1 species